UUUCAGCUGUGGUUUCAGCCAUGUUUUUGGUUCAACUUAGUUAUGUCGUAAAAAAACUAAAGAGUCAGAGUUCGUCACGAUUGCGUAUACAUUGCAGCUUGCGGAACGAUACGCGCGACGAAUUAUGUGAUUUGAAUGGAUUAUUGUGCUGUGUGGUGUCACGUGUAUAAUGUAGUAUGUGUGUGUGUAAUAAUAUAGUACUUCUCAGCGUCACGAAAAUAACCAGUGUGUCAACACCCGCACAUACGGAUAAAGGAGUGGGGCGUGGAAGCUAUAACAUCAACCGCCUUCCAGUACCACCAUAAUAAUCCAAGUUUAGUCAGAGAGGUUGUAUUCAUGGUCACCGAAAAUAAGCCAAGAAUGAGACGAGUGCCGAUUUUUGAUGCAUCUUAUUUACGAUCGAAGGUGCACGAUCAAUAUUCGCUUGAGAGGUCGAAGGAAAAAAGGGAAGGUCGCGGGAGAUACUGGGUUGCUGGUUAUUUCUAGUCUACUGCAGGCCUACCAUCAACUUAUAAGGAACGAUUUCAAUGUAACUCAGUUCAAUUUAGGACCAAAAAUUAAUCGAAUUAAUACUAAAAAUUGAUGCAGAUCAAUUUAUAGUCGCAAAGUAGAUCAUGUUAAGAGAUGAUGGUAAGGCCCCUGAUAUUUUAAUUACGUGGCGAUAAUGUUGACACUCAUGUUCACCCUCGUGAUGUAGUUCACCAGUUUCACUAUAAUAAGGAUGUCGUUAAUUUAUUACUUAAGAAUGGAUACUAACGAGGUGCUGUUGGCGUUGUCAGGCACCAUGGCGAUGAUGUUGACGCUCAUGUUCACCCUCAUCAUGUAGUUCACCCAACAUGCGAAGAACAUCAUCACAGCCACGUUGAAUCGCGCCGGGAUCGCGUCUGAAAAUAAUAAUGUUAAUAUUGUCAAAUUUACAAAAGGAAGUGAAUCGAUUUCAAGUUACAAAAAUCUUACAAACACAUUUUCUGCAGUAUCAACUAUCUUGCUUUUAUAGACACUGAAUAUACAUGUAAUAUAUAGUGUCAACGGCCUCACUUACAAAAUUCUAUUACAAAACAGAAACGAUGAUAGGUAUGUUGAAAAUAUAACUUCAUUUAUCCAUUCUAGAGUACUUUAUCUGAAAUUAUUUCAUACUUUUGGUCCUAAAGAAUUAUUAAAUACUCUCGUUUUAUCAGUGAGGCGUUAGUUAAAAACUUCCUUAUAGGUUAUUUGCUGAUGCAAAUUAGUAAACGACCUUGCCAAAAAACUAUCAUUGAUCAUAACAUUAAAUACACGGUCAAGAACGAAAUACUUGUUAGUAUUUUUUUAUCCAUGCAUAAUUUGCAUAAUUGCAAAUAAGAGCUUGUAACGUUCAGGCUAAAACCAUACAACAACUGGAGUUUUUCAAUACCCUGAGGCUAACGGUUUUAAUCGAGUUUAAAAAUGAUCUCACUGAAAUUAUUACUUUGGAUAUUUAAAAACAAAUUUUGGACGAAUCAAUGCUUGUCUUGACAUUGCAAAUAGUGUUGUUCUAGCAAACAAGAAGUUGCGGUCAAGAGCGCGCGACCUCACAGAAACCGUAAGAUAUUCACGGAAGAUUACUUUCCAGCACUAUGUCAAUAUCAGUCAGAGUUUGACAAAUAUUGGUCUCACAUAUGAUUUCGUUUGGACAAACAUCGUAGACAAGCUGUAAUUAAAAUAAAAAGGAUUUUGACCAGUGAAAGUUUGAACUAGUUCACGCUGACAACGUCAUGACAAACAACAAAAAAAUUAUAAGCAUGAUGCAAGUGAUAUUUAUCAAAGCCGGUUCUAUUAAUUUCAUUUGCAUUAUUUCUCCUCUUGAGAUACUGAAUGAAACGAAUUAGCGUGAUCUUUAAUUAAAGAUCUUUACGAUGAACUAACAUUGGUUGGACUUUGUCGCAACUAGAAUCUAUCACUUUAACUUUCCUGAAAUCUAUGGUAAUUUAUUUGGACCUUGCUAGUAGGAAUUAGGUAUACAUAGUACGUAUUUUUAGUACACUAAUAAAAAUGUAACAGGCCUUACGAUGACCUCGAUCGAAGAGGUGAGUGAUAAGUUUUUGGAUUGAAAAUAGUCUCCAUUUAUGUAAAUCUAAGAUUAAAAAACUUGUUUUCUUUUUUGUUCCGCGGAUGCUCAGAGCGACACUUCCUUCGCAACCUGUCAAGUUGAUACGAAAUCAAUGCCAAUCGAGUCAUUUCUCAGAAGCGUCGUCGAAGGUUGCAGACGACCUCAAAGCAAUCUAAACUUGUAAUAAAAACGACCAGUGUGACGAGGUCUCCAUUCUGUUGCUGUUUACGCGUUCACUUCAGGUGUUUAAUGCAAAGAUUGUUUUUCUUUUGUUGUAUGUAGCAGGCAUUGAACUGGUAAUGAAUUCGUGUAUUUUUGGUUCCGUACCGCAGUAGGUAAACGAAAUUCUUAUAGGAUUACUACGUUGUAGGUCUUGUUUUUAAUAAAUUUAGACUUUCACAUUAUUCUGGUUAAGGUUUACACUAUGGGUAUACUGGUAGGUAAAUAAUAACAUAUUAGCUUAUUUGGAUUUAUUUCCUACCUUUCCAUAUUAUUAGAUUCGUAUAGAAACACGUAACGAUUUCUAUCAAAAUAUAUUACGUUUUCAGACAGGUAGGUAUGAGAUCAAUCUGCUGAAGGAUUUCAGUUGCAUUUUCCUUAAGGUUCAAGUUCAAAUUUUCCUUGUCUUACAUAAUUUAUAAGAAAUACGUUCAUAUGUAUGAAUUUGCAUAUUUUAUGAAUUGGAUUUUAACAUUAGUGACAGCUUCAUCACGUCUGAAUUCUAAAGAUUUGAGCAUUUACUUGUAACAAAACACCGAACAUUUUCGAACGAUAAUGUUUUUCAUAGUGUUACAACAAUCUAAGGAAAUUUACAUCGUACAUUUACUUAGAUUUUCAGUUAGUCACUCACACGCGAAUAUUCAAGCCUAUUAGACUGAAACAAUAUGUCUUGUGUUCUAUGUAAAAUGGUUACCUAUAUCAAAUAAACAUUUUUUUCUUU